GACGGAAGGUGCAAGCGUUGCUCGGAAUCACUGGGCGUAAAGGGUGCGUAGGCGGCCGUGCAAGUCUGGCGUGAAAGCCCCGGGCUCAGCCCGGGAAGUGCGCUCGAAACUGCGCGGCUCGAGUGCCGGAGGGGAGAGUGGAAUUCCUGGUGUAGCGGUGAAAUGCGUAGAUAUCAGGAGGAACACCAGUGGCGAAGGCGGUGCUCUGGGCCGAUACUGACGCUGAGGAGCGAAAGCGUGGGGAGCGAACAGG
rnacentral:rRNA from 1 species